rnacentral:rRNA from 1 species
CAGUCGCCGCGGUAAUACGAAGGGUGCAAGCGUUACUCGGAAUUACUGGGCGUAAAGCGUGCGUAGGCGGUUCGUUAAGUCUGUUGUGAAAGCCCCGGGCUCAACCUGGGAAUGGCAAUGGAUACUGGCGAGCUAGAGUGCGUCAGAGGAUGGUGGAAUUCCCGGUGUAGCGGUGAAAUGCGUAGAGAUCGGGAGGAGCAUCAGUGGCGAAGGCGGCCAUCUGGGACAACACUGACGCUGAGGCACGAAAGCGUGGGGAGCAAAUGGGAUUAGAUACCCCCGUAGUCCCUGUCUCUUAUAC